CCUAUUAAAAUCUCAACAUUCUUCAUAGAAAUAGAAAAGGCUGCCAUAAAAUUCAUUUGGAGAAACAAGACCCAAAAUGGCCAAAGCAAUCCUUAGCAAGGAAAGUGAAGCAGGAGGCAUCACAACAUCAGACAUUAAACCUAGAGCCACAGAAACAAAAAAUAGCAUGGUAUUGGCAUCAAAACAGACAUGCAGACCAAUGAUACAGAAUAGAAGAGACAGAGACAAACCCACAUAAAUACAGUUCUCAUACAGAAAAAUAUACACUGAAAAGAAGAUAGCCUCUUCAACAAAUGGUGCUGGGAAAACUGGAAAUCCAUAUGCAGCAGAAUGAAAUUGAACCCCUAUCUCUUACCCUGCACAAAACUCAAAGUGGAUCAAAGACUUAGGCACUAGAACAGAGACCCUGUGCCUAAUAGAUGAAAAAAUAGGCCCAAAUCUUUACGACAUUGGCCUAGAAUCUGAAUUCCUUAACAAGUCUCCUAAAGCACAAGGAGUAAAAUCCAGAAUCAAUAAAUGGAAUGGAUUCAAACUAAAAAGAUUGUUCUCAGCAAAGGAAACAAUCUGGAGAGCCUAUGGAAUGGGAGAAAUUCUUUACCACAUGUACCUCAGAGCAUUGAUCUUCAGGAUAUAUAAAGAACUCAAAAAAUUCAGUACCAAAAAAUCCCCAAAUAACCCAGUCAGUAAAUGAACUAAGGAACUGAACAGACAGUUCAAAGGAAUAAAUCAAUAUAUGAAAAAAUGUUUAACAUCUCUAGCAAUUAGAGAAAUGCAAAUUAAAACUACAGAGAUUCCAUCUCACUGCAGUCAGAAUAGCAAUUACCAAGAAUACAAGCAAUAGUAAGUGUUGGAAAGGAUGUGGGAGAAAAGGCACACUCAGUACAUUGCUGGUGGGACUGCAAAUUGGCACAACCACUUUGAAAUGGAACCACCAUUUGACGCAGCUCUCCCACUCCUCAGUUUAUACCCAAAGGAC
rnacentral:lncRNA from 1 species